rnacentral:rRNA from 1 species
GUGCCAGCAGCCGCGGUAAUACGAAGGGGGCUAGCGUUGUUCGGAUUUACUGGGCGUAAAGCGCACGUAGGCGGAUUGGUCAGUUAGGGGUGAAAUCCCAGAGCUCAACUCUGGAACUGCCCUUAAUACUGCCAGUCUAGAGUCCGGAAGAGGUGAGUGGAACUCCUAGUGUAGAGGUGGAAUUCGUAGAUAUUAGGAAGAACACCAGUGGCGAAGGCGGCUCACUGGUCCGGUACUGACGCUGAGGUGUGAAAGCGUGGGGAGCAGACAGGAUUAGAUACCCUGGUAGUCC